rnacentral:rRNA from 1 species
AAUAUUGCGCAAUGGAGGGAACUCUGACGCAGCGACGCCGCGUGAGCGACGAAGGCCUUCGGGUCGUAAAGCUCUGUUCUUGGGGACGAAUAAAGUGACGGUACCCAAGGAGAAAGCCCCGGCUAACUACGUGCCAGCAGCCGCGGUAACACGUAGGGGGCGAGCGUUGUCCGGAAUUACUGGGCGUAAAGGGCGUGUAGGCGGCCAUGUAUGUCAGGUGUGAAAGGCCUCGGCUUAACCGAGGCAUUGCACAUGAAACUGUGUGGCUUGAGUGCAGGAGAGGGAAGUGGAAUUCCUAGUGUAGCGGUGAAAUGCGUAGAUAUUAGGAGGAACACCAGUGGCGAAGGCGACUUCCUGGACUGUAACUGACGCUGAGGCGCGAAAGCGUGGGUAGCAAAC